UGGUACCUACGGGAGGCAGCAGUGAGGAAUAUUGGUCAAUGGUCGGGAGACUGAACCAGCCAAGCCGCGUGAGGGAUGAAGGUACAGAGUAUCGUAAACCUCUUUUGUCAGGGAACAAAGGCGGGGACGUGUCCCCGGAUGAGUGUACCUGAAGAAAAAGCAUCGGCUAACUACGUGCCAGCAGCCGCGGUAAUACGUAGGUGGCAAGCGUUGUCCGGAAUUACUGGGUG
rnacentral:rRNA from 1 species